AACAGGAUUAGAUACCCUGGUAGUCCACGCCGUAAACGAUGUCGACUUGGAGGCUGUUCCCUUGAGGAGUGGCUUCCGGAGCUAACGCGUUAAGUCGACCGCCUGGGGAGUACGGCCGCAAGGUUAAAACUCAAAUGAAUUGACGGGGGCCCGCACAAGCGGUGGAGCAUGUGGUUUAAUUCGAUGCAACGCGAAGAACCUUACCCACUCUUGACAUCCAGAGAAUUUAGCAGAGAUGCUUUAGUGCCUUCGGGAACUCUGAGACAGGUGCUGCAUGGCUGUCGUCAGCUCGUGUUGUGAAAUGUUGGGUUAAGUCCCGCAACGAGCGCAACCCUUAUCCUUUGUUGCCAGCGCGUAAUGGCGGGAACUCAAAGGAGACUGCCGGUGAUAAACCGGAGGAAGGUGGGGAUGACGUCAAGUCAUCAUGGCCCUUACGAGUAGGGCUACACACGUGCUACAAUGGCGCAUACAAAGAGAAGCGACCUCGCGAGAGCAAGCGGACCUCAUAAAGUGCGUCGUAGUCCGGAUUGGAGUCUGCAACUCGACUCCAUGAAGUCGGAAUCGCUAGUAAUCGUAAAUCAGAAUGUUACGGUGAAUACGUUCCCGGGCCUUGUACACACCGCCCGUCACACCAUGGGAGUGGGUUGCAAAAGAAGUAGAUAGCUUAACCUUCGGGAGGGCGUUUACCACUUUGUGAUUCAUGACUGGGGUGAAGUCGUAACAAGGUAACCGUAGGGGAACCUGCGGCUGGAUCACCUCCUU
rnacentral:rRNA from 1 species